rnacentral:rRNA from 1 species
UACGUAGGUGGCAAGCGUUAUCCGGAAUUAUUGGGCGUAAAGCGCGCGUAGGCGGUUUUUUAAGUCUGAUGUGAAAGCCCACGGCUCAACCGGGGAGGGUCAUUGGAAACUGUUUUACUUGAGUACAGAAGAGGAGAGUGGAAUUCCAUGUGUAGCGGUGAAAUGCGCAGAGAUAUGGAGGAACACCAGUGGCGAAGGCGACUUUCUGGUCUGUAACUGACGCUGAGGCUCGAAAGCGUGGGGAGCAAACAGG